GCGAAAAAUAGGUUUACUGUGUCACUCGUACCGAUAACCGCAUCAGGUCUUCUAGGUAAGUAGCUUAUGGCCAUUGAGGCAUGAUAGUUCAGGGAAUUCGGCCAAUUAGAGCUGUAACUUCGGGAUAAAGCUUGGCUCUGAUGAAAAUCAGAACCGAUUGUUACGCGGAGAGCCCAACUGUUUAAUAAAAACGUAGUGUCGCGCUGUGGUAGUAUAGCCAGUGAACGCGACAUGAAUCCUGCUCAGUGCUGUGUCUGUUAAUAUGGUUCAAGCCAACGAAGCACCGGUAAAUAGCUGGGGUAACUAUGACUCUUAUCAAAGUAGCGAAAUACCUCGUCACUUAAUUAGUGACCUGCAUGAACGGAGCUAUGAGGUUCUCACUGUCCCAAACUGUCUCUCAGCGAACCAACUGUAGUGGGAACGGUCACUAGAUAUCCAGCGGGGAAAGAAGACCCUGUAGAGCUUCACUUUGGUCUAGUCUUGUAUAGUUCCUGCGGGGGUGUAGACUAGGUGGGAGAGCAAUCGAUUCUGAAAAACCACUACCCUGUUUGGAAUUAUGCUUACCUAUCACAAGGAAUAGGACUAGAUAGAAAGUUUGGCUGGGGCGGCACACCUUCGAAAGAGCAGCGAAGGUGUCCUAAGUUGAGCUCAGUGAGGACAGAAAUCUCACGUUGAGGAUAAGGCCAAAAGCUCAAUUUACUGUGCCUUUUUGUACUAGGAUCAGUUACGAAAGUAAGGCCUAACGAUCCCUAAAUAGCCUCAGGUGCGUGAGGAUUGGGGUGACAGACAAGUUACCUCCGGGACAACUGGCUUGUGGCUGCUAAGAGAUCAAAUCAACGCAGCUUUUUGAUUCUUCGAUGUCGGCUCUUCCUAUCCUAGUGAUGUACAAGUUGCUAAGGGUCGGAUUGUUCACCCGUAUUAGGGAUCGUGAGCUGGGUUUAGACCGUCGUGAGCCAGGUUUGUUUUAUCCUACUGGAUAUAGCAUCAUGAUAGUAGAUUGAUUUAGUACGAGGAGG
rnacentral:ncRNA from 2 species